UACGUAGGUGGCGAGCGUUGUCCGGAUUUACUGGGCGUAAAGAGCGCGCAGGCGGCUGGUCAAGUCCGAUGUGAAAGCUCCCGGCUUAACUGGGAAAUUGCAUCGGAAACUGAUCGGCUGGAAGGUGGGAGAGGGUAGCGGAAUUCCCGGUGUAGUGGUGAAAUGCGUAGAGAGUCGGGGGGAACACCAGUGGCGAAGGCGGCGAUCUGGGUCGAUACUGACGCUGAUGCGCGAAAGCGUGGGGAGCAAACAGG
rnacentral:rRNA from 1 species